CUGGAAGUGGAGCUAUGGCUCAAGUAGUAAAGCACCAGUCUUAAGUGAAAAAAUUCAGUUCAAGCACUAGGACUAUCACACAUACAAAAAGGACAGCCAUCUUCGCUGACAGCCCCCUUUUCUCUUCCUUCCACUUUUACUUUUUUAUUAAAUAUUUUAUUCAGGCCGAUCUUAUUCGAGCAACCUCCAUGUUGGUUGUGAGAAAAAAGGCCGGGUAUGACAAUCUCCUAGACACCUUUCCAGGGCUGUUCACUCAGCUAAUGACAGCUCACAGCUGUCCUUGGGCUGCACAUGCUCUGCAAGACACUAGACGCCUGAGACUUCGAGGGGAGGCCUCUGCUAUGUUGGAGCUCAGUCUAAGUGAUGUUUUGGGAGGUGAGAUCAAGUCUGUAUGGAGAUCAGUGGAGGCACAGAGGUGCUGUGGAGGGGAGGCUGCCUAGAACAUUAAGAGGUAGAAGAAGGCAUCAGCCAGAUAAGCCAACAGGUAAUCAGGGGUCUGACUCCUGUAGCUCCAUGGGUAUGUUUUGGGGGGAGAGAGUGCACUCUGUGAUUAGUGUCCAGAUGUGAAGACUGAGCUCAUAGGUUGGAGAGGCCAGUAGGAACCCAGCUGGUCCCUGAAUGCCUGUUCCAGAGCUGGGCCUCCAUCGCAGUGCUAAGGAGCCUUAGAAGUGAUGGAAGCAGAAGGUAUUGUACUUCAGAAUAUAGCUAGAAAGGUACCUGUCAUAAUGAUGGAGAGAGCAGUCUGUGGUGCUGGCUAGCCUUUCAGGCUUAAGUCUGACCAGCGUGGAAACCAAGGUUAGAGAGAUAUAAGGUAGUCGGAGCAGGGGCUUCGGGACUGAGCACAGUGGUGGCUCCUGGGAGAAGUAGGGCAAUAGAGAUGGAAUGGAGAGAUUUUAAGAUAGCCAAUUAAAAAUUGUUUUUUUUUUUUUUAAAAUAGUAGCCUUAUUGAAAUAUGAUCCAAAAAUUAUAGUUAUUCUCUUAACUUGUACAAUUCAUUGGUUUUUAACAUAUUAGAAUGAUGCAUCCCUCACAGAUACCUAAUUGUAGAAUAUUUUUACUACCCCAAAAGAAAUCCUGGAUCCAUUUCAUGGUCAGUCUCCUUUUCCUCUACUCCCAGCUCCUGGCAACCACUAGCCAUUCUAUGUAUGGAUAUGCCUGUCCUGGACAUUUUGUUUUCAAAGCUGACAGGUGAAGUGCAUCGAAAGUGUGCUGUCCCGCAUGGCAGGCCUGUUAUCCCUGGGAAGCAGAAGGGCCUGAACGGCGUAUGCAGGAUGGUGAUUAUGUGGCAUCAGAACGUGGGCGACUGAGGUUCACUGCUGUUACGAUGUGUGCAUCAAAUUUAGAUUUUGUCACAGAUUCACCAGCAGUGAAGCUGGGCUAUCCUCAAAGAGGGGCCCUUGGAAUCAGUCUCCUGGGAAUAGGAGUUUGAUACAAUAAAAUGUUAUGAAGAAGCCUAA